UACGGGGGGGGCAAGCGUUGUCCGGAAUUAUUGGGCGUAAAGAGCUCGUAGGCGGUUUGUCGCGUCGACUGUGAAAACCUGGGGCUUAACUCUGGGCCUGCAGUCGAUACGGGCAGACUUGAGUUCGGUAGGGGAGACUGGAAUUCCUGGUGUAGCGGUGAAAUGCGCAGAUAUCAGGAGGAACACCGGUGGCGAAGGCGGGUCUCUGGGCCGAUACUGACGCUGAGGAGCGAAAGCGUGGGGAGCGAACAGG
rnacentral:rRNA from 1 species